rnacentral:tRNA from 1 species
GGACCACAGCUCAGUGGUAGAGUGCUUGCUUGGCAUGCAUGAAGCCCUGGGUUCAAUACCCAGCACCA